CUGCACUGUUUACUGUGUGGGUUGCCAUCUGGAUUGGCAUUCUGCUCUCAUUUCAGUGCAAGAGUAACCUCAAUUAGCAGAAGGGCUGAAUCAAACUGUUGAUUUUUCCUUUUCGAAGGUUGAGCACAUUC